CGUUAGCUCAGUUGGUAGAGCAACUGACUCUUAAUCAGUGGGUCUAGGGUUCGAAUCCCU
rnacentral:tRNA from 2 species